AGGGGCAGCAUGUUAAACUCUUAUGACACCUCUUAGAGGAGAAAUGACUGGUCACGGUGAGGGUCAAGCAUCAGUCCAGUUGUGACAUCUCUGUGAGUGGACAUAUCACUCUAACUUAGAUGUGCCGCAACUCUUGGUACUCUGGGUGCCCCCAGUUUAAGAUUCAAACUGUCUUAAUAGAGAGGACAAGACCCAUAGGUACUAAUAUGGAGUGUGAUUCUCAGCAUUCAUCCCAAAAGAGCCAAGCCAUCAAGAAAACCUGUUCUGCCUUUGCAAAUUAAAUGGAAUACUUAAGAGUUCACAUGAAGAAAAUACAAAACAUGUAAACAGCUCUUUGAGGUUUAACAAGCUGAAGACUUAGCUGAAUGUUUUCUGCAACUUGACAAUCAGAAGUGACAUCCACACAAUAGAAUGUCCUUCUUCUUAGCAGAUCCAUUGUUUCUCUGCUAAUAAAUGCAAGCGUCACAUGAAAUCCACUUCUCGUUUCAUUUUCUGCAGCAUAACGUAGAGCUAAACAACCAGCACUCCAGCAGACCUCCACCAUGCUCCCACACGACGCGUAAAGUCUCUACAACAGGAUAUGCCUGCACUUACUGAGUCCCUUUUCUUGCUAGGAGGACAGCAGAGAGAAGAGUCUCUUUUAGACAGCCAUCACUAGUCCCUCAGUCAUCCAUCAAGUGUCUAUGCGCUGGCACCUGAGAGCCCUCCUGGAUGGGCCUGCCCUCACCCGCAGCGGCAGACACAGUCUGGCCGCACUAAUCCAGAAAAACUGCAUGCCUGCAGGAACGUCAGGUCCAGAGACGACAGGGAGUAGGAACUAAGUCAGGACAGAAUGUCACGAUCACCUUUUACCAGCCCCUGUGCCUCUGUGUGCCCAGGCCUUGCACUCGCACAGUCCAGCCGGCUCCCUCGGGCCACAGCAGGUGUGAGCAGCACUGUGUGCUGCAGGAGGCAGAGAGAAAACGGAGGGACACCCCUGACCUGGGAGUGUGCCAUCAGGUGGGGACGCAGGGCACAGUAUUAGGGAAACAGCCUGAGGACUUGGAAGGCAAACUAGCAAGAGGUCCAGGGCUCUGGAGCCAGACUCUCUGGGUCCAGGUCCUGCCUGUGUGUGAUAAUUGUGUGACCUUGGGGAAGUCGCAUACCCUCCCAUCCCUAAAACCUCAUGGGGUUGUUACAAGGACUGAAAAUCAGAACAUGCACAAUGUUUUGUACCCGCUCGAUUAAAAACUCUUUGAAAAGCUUAACCAGC
rnacentral:lncRNA from 1 species